CAAAAGCCUGGUCCCAACUUUAUUAUCAGCUUUAACCUAAUUUAUACAUGCAAGUAUCCGCACCCCAGUGAAUAUUCCUUCAAACUCCUUCUCGAGAAUGAAGAGUAGGCAUCAGGCACGCACUGCAGCCCAAGACGCCAAGUCCACGCCACACCCCCAAGGGAACUCAGCAGUAAUAGACAUUAAGCAAUAAGUGAAAACUUGACUUAGCCAGGGUUAAGAGGGCCGGUAAAACUCGUGCCAGCCACCGCGGUUAUACGAGCGACUCAAGUUGAUAAUCACGGCGUAAAGAGUGGUUAUGGUUUCCCUCUACUAAAGUCGAAGACCUCCCUAGCUGUCAUACGCCACUCGGAGACUCGAAGCCCCUACAAAAGUAACUUUAUUUUUCCUGACCCCACGAAAGCUAAGAAACAAACUGGGAUUAGAUACCCCACUAUGCUUAGCCCUAAACCUAGAUGUAGACUAUAACUACAUCCGCCCGGGAACUACGAGCGCUAGCUUAAAACCCAAAGGACUUGACGGUAUUUCAGACCCGCCUAGAGGAGCCUGUUCUAGAACCGAUAAUCCCCGUUCAACCUCACCACCUCUUGUCAUCACCGCCUAUAUACCGCCGUCGCAAGCUUACCCUGCGAGGGAUUAAUAGUAAGCAAAAUGGAAACAUCCAAAAACGUCAGGUCGAGGUGUAGCUUACGAGGUGGGAAGAAAUGGGCUACAUUUUCUAUUACAGAAUAUUACGGAAGAUCCUGUGAAACCCGGAUCCCAAGGUGGAUUUAGCAGUAAAGAAUAAAUAGAGCGUAUUUUUGAAUCAGGCUCUGAAAUGCGUACACACCGCCCGUCACUCUCUCUUUCCAUUACUCAACUGUGUAAUUAACAAAAAUUAAACCAAAUGAUUAGGGGAGACAAGUCGUAACAUGGUAAGCGUACCGGAAGGUGCGCUUGGAACAU
rnacentral:ncRNA from 1 species